UACGAAGGGGGCGAGCGUUGUUCGGAUUUACUGGGCGUAAAGGGUGUGUAGGUGGCGCCGUAAGUCGGGUGUGAAAUUUCGGAGCUUAACUCCGAAACUGCAUUCGAUACUGCGGUGCUUUGAGGACUGGAGAGGAGACUGGAAUUUACGGUGUAGCAGUGAAAUGCGUAGAGAUCGUAAGGAAGACCAGUGGCGAAGGCGGCAUCCUGGACCAACACUGACGCUGAGUGAGCGAAAGCCAGGGGAGCAAACGGGG
rnacentral:rRNA from 1 species